UACGAAGGGGGCUAGCGUUGUUCGGAAUUACUGGGCGUAAAGCGCGCGCAGGCGGUCUUCCAAGUCAGUGGUGAAAGCCCGGAGCUCAACUCCGGAACUGCCAUUGAAACUGUGAGACUUGAGUACGAGAGAGGUGAGUGGAAUUCCCAGUGUAGAGGUGAAAUUCGUAGAUAUCGGGAGGAACACCUGUGGCGAAAGCGGCGCACUGGACCAUAACUGACGCUGAUGCGCGAAAGCGUGGGGAGCAAACAGG
rnacentral:rRNA from 1 species